rnacentral:rRNA from 1 species
UCGAGGAUCUUUGGCAAUGGGCGCAAGCCUGACCAAGCGACGCCGCGUGUGCGAUGAAGGCCUUCGGGUUGUAAAGCACUGUCGAGGGGGAGGAAGCCGCAAGGUUGACCUAUCCCUGGAGGAAGCACGGGCUAAGUUCGUGCCAGCAGCCGCGGUAAGACGAACCGUGCGAACGUUGUUCGGAAUCACUGGGCUUAAAGGGCGCGUAGGCGGGUUUUCAAGUCUGUGGUGAAAUCCUCCAGCUUAACUGGAGAAGUGCCGUGGAUACUGGGGACCUCGAGGUGGGUAGGGGCAUCUGGAACAGCCGGUGGAGCGGUGAAAUGCGUUGAUAUCGGCUGGAACUCCGAUGGCGAAGGCAAGGUGCUGGACCCUCUCUGACGCUGAGGCGCGAAAGCCAGGGGAGCGAACGG